CUCUCUCUGUAGACCAAGCUGACCUUGAACUCUGAGAUCCAGCUUUCCAUUGUAAUCCCCUGUGGUGGGCUGGGCUUUUUGGUGGUACAGGUGCCUUUAAGUCCCUGUCGCUGUAAGUAACUCCUUGCCCCGAGCUCCUAUGAGUGACUCCAAUAAACUCACUGGCGCACUAAACUGGACUUGGGCGGUACCAUUCCUUUGGUCUGUUGUCUGUCUCUUAACUGGACGUGAGCAGACGAGAUGUUUGCUCUCAGACUAGAUGUUUGUUCUCAUUUUUCAGGAAUCAUGUCAAACACACGUACACACACACCACCACCACCACCACCACGGCCGCCACCACCUGUAGACUGAAGGCCCAGAAGCUCAAGGCCACCCUUGACUACAGAGAGUUAGAGGGCAAAACAACAGCAACCACACAAAAAGAAGGCUGGAGAGCUAACUCAGUUGCGCAGCACUUGCUUAGCGUGUACAAGCUCUAGGUUUGAUCCUCAGCAUUGGGGACUGGUUCUAAGUGGAUCCGCAGUCUUACUUGAGAGGGCCAGGCAAAUAUCACGACCCGUCCCUAAUAACUCAGUUAAGAACUAGGACUCAGUUCCUGCACCUACUAGGCCUGGGCCAAACCCCUCCUCCACCCACAGGUAAUAACCAAAUAAGGACAAAACCUGGGACUUGUCCACGCCUGUCCCCAAAUGGAACAGUCAGCGAUAGCCCUAAUCAACCCCUCACCAGCUCUAGCCAAUUGGAAUGUACUAAUAUGAUUGCCACUUGCUUAAGCCAAUCUUAUCAAAUGACCUAGCCACCCUAAGAACUCCCCUUAGCUGCGCUUAAAAGGAGCGCGCAUGUCCCUCUCAAAGUCCUUGCCAUUUUGUACAGGUGAGUGACCCCACAUGCACGUGGUAUAAUAAAUGUUUUGGGACUUCUCACGGACCCUAACAUUACUCUUGAUUUUAGGCAAAAUGCUAAGGAACCAAUCGAAUCCAGAUUUGUGUGGAAAGAAAGAGAAAGCUGGAAAGUGGUAGUCUUACCGGGAUGGUGACAGCCGUCUACGGAAGGAACCACAAAUGCCUACCACUAGCUUGACCGCUCACGUUGGCCUGGAGGCCACAGCAAUGUAAGCAUGUGCUCAGCUGAACGCUUACCAUAUGGACAUAGUCUAGAAAAUGGGUCAACCAGAAGCACCCGAGAAACUGACCUGUGUUGCGGGAGAUUUGUUGAACCAGGCAAAGUUGUGUUAACAUUUGUCCAGGCUGCAUUGGUUAACUAUGUAAAGAUGUGUUGCAUUUAACCCGGGCUCAGAGAGGCGGGGUUAGCAACUGGUUGACCGGAAGCAGCAAGGAGGAGCCUAGUGUGUUUUUUUUUUUUUGUUGUUGUUGUUGUUAGUUGGGAAGGUGUGGAAGCGAGUGGUUUCCAGAAAGCCCGCAAAGAGAGAAAGGUAGCAGUUGUCCUUCUAAUUCCCUGAUCUCGCAGGUUCUCGCUCCAGCCUGUGAAUCUUGAGCUGUAUUAGAACGGUCGAGAUUCAGUUACAACUGCCUUGACCGGCAGCAACAGAGCCGCUGUCCGGAGGAACAGAAUUCUUCUUAGUGGCUGGGCUGCUCGUAGUUUAAAGGGCAGCCACUGUGACGGAGGCUGAAGCCCCGGCUCCAUUAUGUUGGCUCCUCCACACCCAACCCCAAGCUGCACAUUUCAGAGAGAAAUCACUGUAAUUAUUUAUUCUCUUGAAAAGGAGCAGGAGGCUUGGGUAGAGAGCCACCAGCCAAUGCCAUCACCAAAUCACUAGAAGGCAGUCUCCUGGCAACCAGCCAGAGUGGAAUGGAGUCAGUUGGUACUACAAUUAUCACUGCUAUAUCUGGAUGGAUCUAAGGCCGGAAAUUUUGGACAAAAGCACAUGAAAUGCUGAGGCAGGAGGACCAAGAGUCUGAGAUCAAUCUGGACUAUGUAGCAAAACCUGGUCACAAGAACUAAAAUGAAAACAAGCCCCUUCCACUCCGGCCAACUCAUUUAAUCAUCAAGGCAGCUCACAGAAGAGGGGACAGGGACUUUGGCACCCACAUCUACCCCCAUCUGAAGCUACUUAGCGUCCCUGGUAUUUAAGGAGGGAGCCUGAAUUCAUUCAGCAUUUCUGUUGAGUCUACAAUCUUUUUGACUGACAAGCACAAGCAAGCAAACUUGAAAAUCGCCCUGGCAACGAAGCCAGAAUAAUCAGGUCAUCUUUGGGGUUAACUUACUUAUUUAGACACGGUCUCCUAAAGCCCAGACUGGCCUAGAAUUCUCUAUGCAGGUAAGCCUGACCUUUAAUUCCUGAGCCUCCUUUCUCUACCUCCCAAGCACUGGUAUGACAGGCAUGGACGGCCAUACUUGGCUUCAGGCCAUGAAUGUGAAUGAAUGCUAACUUUCAAACUGCAGAAGUCACUCAGCUUCUCUGGGUCUCCAGUGUGGUUUUAAAAUGGACUAGAAUACAGGGCCAAUUUUUUUUUUCAUUGCUUGGAAUACAUUUGAAGAGCAGAGGUUGAGGCUCAGACCUGCUUAUUGUAAAUUGUGGUCUGGCU